rnacentral:rRNA from 1 species
UGAACGCUGGCGGUAUGCUUAACACAUGCAAGUCGAACGGAAACGAUACUAGCUUGCUAGUAGGCGUCGAGUGGCGGACGGGUGAGUAACGCGUAGGAAUCUGCCUGAUAGUGGGGGAUAGCCCGAAGAAAUUCGGAUUAAUACCGCAUAAUCUAUUCGUAGUAAAGUGGGGGACUUUCGAGCCUCACGCUAUCAGAUGAGCCUGCGUAAGAUUAGCUUGUUGGUAGGGUAAAAGCCUACCAAGGCGACGAUCUUUAGCUGGUCUGAGAGGAUGAUCAGCCACAUCGGGACUGAGACACGGCCCGAACUCCUACGGGAGGCAGCAGUGGGGAAUAUUGGACAAUGGGGGCAACCCUGAUCCAGCAAUACCGCGUGUGUGAAGAAGGCCUGAGGGUUGUAAAGCACUUUCAAUUGUGAAGAAAAGUUAGCGGUUAAUAACCGUUAGCCUUGACGUUAACUUUAGAAGAAGCACCGGCUAACUCCGUGCCAGCAGCCGCGGUAAUACGGAGGGUGCAAGCGUUAAUCGGAAUUACUGGGCGUAAAGCGUGCGUAGGCGGUUUAUUAAGUCAGAUGUGAAAGCCCCGGGCUUAACCUGGGAACUGCAUUUGAAACUGGUCAACUAGAGUAUGGUAGAGGAAAGUGGAAUUUCUGGUGUAGCGGUGAAAUGCGUAGAUAUCAGAAGGAACAUCAAUGGCGAAGGCAGCUUUCUGGACCAAUACUGACGCUGAGGUACGAAAGCGUGGGUAGCAAACAGGAUUAGAUACCCUGGUAGUCCACGCCGUAAACGAUGAUAACUAGCCGUUGGGGGGAUUUACCCUUUAGUGGCGAAGCUAACGCGUUAAGUUAUCCGCCUGGGGAGUACGGCCGCAAGGUUAAAACUCAAAGGAAUUGACGGGGACCCGCACAAGCGGUGGAGCAUGUGGUUUAAUUCGAUGCAACGCGAAGAACCUUACCUGGUCUUGACAUCCUGCGAACUUUCUAGAAAUAGAUUGGUGCCUUCGGGAACGCAGUGACAGGUGCUGCAUGGCUGUCGUCAGCUCGUGUCGUGAGAUGUUGGGUUAAGUCCCGUAACGAGCGCAACCCCUAUCCUUAUUUGCCAGCACAUCAUGGUGGGAACUAUAAGGAGACUGCCGGUGAUAAACCGGAGGAAGGCGGGGACGACGUCAAGUCAUCAUGGCCCUUACGACCAGGGCUACACACGUGCUACAAUGGGAAGGACAAAGAGCCGCGAAGCCGCGAGGUGUAGCUAAUCUCAUAAACCUUUUCGUAGUCCGGAUUGGAGUCUGCAACUCGACUCCAUGAAGUCGGAAUCGCUAGUAAUCGUAGAUCAGAAUGCUACGGUGAAUACGUUCCCGGGUCUUGUACACACCGC